rnacentral:rRNA from 1 species
AGUGAACGCUGGCGGUAGGCCUAACACAUGCAAGUCGAACGGCAGCACAGUAAGAGCUUGCUCUUACGGGUGGCGAGUGGCGGACGGGUGAGGAAUACAUCGGAAUCUACUUUUUCGUGGGGGAUAACGUAGGGAAACUUACGCUAAUACCGCAUACGACCUACGGGGGAAAGCAGGGGAUCUUCGGACCUUGCGCGAUCGAAUGAGCCGAUGUCGGAUUAGCUAGUUGGCGGGGUAAAGGCCCACCAAGGCGACGAUCCGUAGCUGGUCUGAGAGGAUGAUCAGCCACACUGGAACUGAGACACGGUCCAGACUCCUACGGGAGGCAGCAGUGGGGAAUAUUGGACAAUGGGCGCAAGCCUGAUCCAGCCAUACCGCGUGGGUGAAGAAGGCCUUCGGGUUGUAAAGCCCUUUUGUUGGGAAAGAAAAGCAGCAGGUUAAUACCCCGCUGUUCUGACGUUACCCAAAGAAUAAGCACCGGCUAACUUCGUG